rnacentral:tRNA from 3 species
CCGAGGGUUCGAAUCCCUCUCUUUC